UACGUAGGGUGCAAGCGUUGUCCGGAAUUAUUGGGCGUAAAGAGCUCGUAGGCGGUCUGUCACGUCGGCUGUGAAAACCUGGGGCUCAACUCCGGGCCUGCAGCCGAUACGGGCAGACUAGAGUUCGGCAGGGGAGACUGGAAUUCCUGGUGUAGCGGUGAAAUGCGCAGAUAUCAGGAGGAACACCGGUGGCGAAAGCGGCUCACUGGACCACAACUGACGCUGAUGCACGAAAGCUAGGGGAGCAAACAGG
rnacentral:rRNA from 1 species